ACGGGGGGAGCAAACGUUGUUCGGAAUCACUGGGCGUAAAGGGCGCGUAGGCGGCUAGGUAAGUGGAGUGUUAAAUCUCCCGGCUCAACCGGGAACCUGCACUUCAUACUGCUUAGCUUGAGUAUAGGAGAGGAGACUGGAAUUCCCGGUGUAGCGGUGAAAUGCGUAGAUAUCGUCUGGAACGCCAACGGUGAAAACAGCUCGCUGGGGAUGUGCUGACGCUGAGACACGAAAGCCAGGGGAGCAAACGGGA
rnacentral:rRNA from 1 species